AAACUGAGAUAAGGUAGCAUGAAUUGUAGACGCUUUGAACGUUAAACUUUCGAACGCACAUUGCGCCGUAGGAGUCCUACAUUACGGCACAUCUGGUUGAGGGUCGUGAUCAAAAACAGCAGGACUAUGUUUUAAUAGAAAUAGCAGGUGAAUCACGAGUUCGGCCUACCGCCUUUGGCUGAACGUGUUUUGCCAUAAUGCUAACAGAGAACAAUCGCUCGAACGAGAGAUUGCCUACCACACGAAUAAUCUAUUAGUUGAAGCAAUAGGUUUCGGUCACCGGGUAUUACACUUAUAUACUCUGUGGCGUCUGAGAUACAACUAGUGGGCUUCAUACGUGCCUGGUAUCGAGAAUAUUCGCUCUCCCGACCUCAACUCAGGUGUGAUUACCCGCUGAACUUAAGC
rnacentral:misc_RNA from 1 species